rnacentral:rRNA from 1 species
AGUGAACGCUGGCGGUAGGCCUAACACAUGCAAGUCGAACGGCAGCACAGUAAGAGCUUGCUCUUACGGGUGGCGAGUGGCGGACGGGUGAGGAAUACAUCGGAAUCUACUUUUUCGUGGGGGAUAACGUAGGGAAACUUACGCUAAUACCGCAUACGACCUACGGGUGAAAGCAGGGGAUCUUCGGACCUUGCGCGAUUGAAUGAGCCGAUGUCGGAUUAGCUAGUUGGCGGGGUAAAGGCCCACCAAGGCGACGAUCCGUAGCUGGUCUGAGAGGAUGAUCAGCCACACUGGAACUGAGACACGGUCCAGACUCCUACGGGAGGCAGCAGUGGGGAAUAUUGGACAAUGGGCGUAAGCCUGAUCCAGCCAUACCGCGUGGGUGAAGAAGGCCUUCGGGUUGUAAAGCCCUUUUGUUGGGAAAGAAAAGCAGCAGGUUAAUACCCCGCUGCUCUGACGGUACCCAAAGAAUAAGCACCGGCUAACUUCGUG